rnacentral:rRNA from 1 species
CCUACGGGUGGCAGCAGUGGGGAAUAUUGGACAAUGGGCGCAAGCCUGAUCCAGCCAUGCCGCGUGAGUGAUGAAGGCCUUAGGGUUGUAAAGCUCUUUUGUCCGGGAAGAUAAUGACUGUACCGGAAGAAUAAGCCCCGGCUAACUUCGUGCCAGCAGCCGCGGUAAUACGAAGGGGGCUAGCGUUGUUCGGAAUCACUGGGCGUAAAGCGCACGUAGGCGGACCAUUAAGUCAGGGGUGAAAGCCUGGAGCUCAACUCCAGAACUGCCUUUGA